GGGGUCCCAUCGGCCCUAUAUCGUGCACGGUAUCAAAUGGCUUAGGUUCUCGAGAUUCUACCAUCGACAACUGCACUGCACAUAGAGAAAGCUACAGAGGCGAGCGACCGAUGCAUGAGUACCCUAUACGCCUUGCGCAAUCAUACUUAUGUGAAGCAUUACAAACUUGAGUUCAAAGUUCCUGGUUUUUUUGUGUUGAUUCAUUUCCUUGUUGUUUCCAACAAAGCUGUUCCCUGAAUUAAUUCGUUCAUCAGUUUUCAUUGAUACGUGGAAACCGUGCACAGGUACUUCUUAGAGUAUGAGCAACAUGGGCAUAAUAUGUCAGUUCGUGCUGCGGAGUUACUUCGCAUUUGCUGUACUGUCACAGGCUUCGUUUGCUGCCAUCAAUGACCUUGCGGACACAACGGUGGUGCGGGGCAGAGAUACAACUCUGUUUUGUAGUAACAGUCAACACACGUCAGGCUUUGCCCAGUGGAGUGACAUUACAGACCUGAGCAAUCACAUACCAUUUGCUUCUCGUUCGAUUGGUGUGUUGGAAGAUCCUCCUACCUUUUCAAAGUACAUAAAUUUCGACUUGGACACAACAGUGAGUACACGAUUGGAUUAAAAAGAUAAGCAGCGCUGAACUUGAAGAUGAAGGGACGUACGCGUGCACCUUGUCCCCAGACACAGCGACGGCCACACUGACUGUGGAAAUUGAAGGAGCUGUACCAACCAUCACAAUUGAUGGUAAUUCAUCAAAGAAUCCCAUCGUCCUGAGAGCCUCUGAGGAAAGCGCGCUGAGAUGCACGGCCUGGGGUUUCAGACCAGCUGUCAGUCUGGAAUGGUACAGAAACAAUGUUCAGAUGACAACAGGUGUUGCUCAAGAUGCAGCUUCCCCUAAUGGAGAUGGUACAUUUAAUACAUCGGGCACACUGACACUCACUCCAACAAGACAAGAUAAUGAAGCCAUCCUAGAAUGCCGAACAACGGGACAGGUGGCUGCCCCAGUCAAGACAGCAUCGCUCAUUCUCAAUGUACAAUAUGUACCAGUCGUGUCAGUUGGGUAUACCAAUGGAGUGAUAACUUGCUCAUCGGAUGCCAACCCAAUGGCUAUCAAUCAUAAGAUCAUCCUGAAUGGCACUAACGUAGUGAAAGAAUUCACGACCAGUCAAGGAUCUCAUCCAUACACUCCAGCAGAUGGCUUUACUGUCAUCAGUUGCAGUGUGGCAAGCACAGCGGGGACGGGAACAGCAAGCUUUCCUGAAGCAGUGUGUCCAGGAUACGUGGAACCGCAACCCAUGACAACAGAUCCUGCGUAAUUCCAAUCGCCGAUGGAGGCUGCCGGACAGACUACAUAUCAAUUGAGACUGUUAGUUAAUUACUUCUCGGGAGUCAGAUGGGUUGAACUUAAAGGUAGCUCAAAUGGAGGGGUCUCAUGUUCUUGUCACAAUUUUACUCCAUGGCAAAGUCAUUCAAUCUCUUUUAUCUUUAAUGUAAAAAAGAGACGCAAUGGUUUAGGAUUUGAUGAGGUAUUCCAGCCUUUGACAAGACCAAGCCCCCUAAAAAUGGCAGUGACCAUGGUGUUUGGCCCCCGAUCCCCACCUGAAAUACAUGCAAGAAAAUGACAAUCGCCCUUACUCAAGGUCAUAUUUAUGUCAAUGACUGUAAUGUGACCAGCUUGGAUGUGAUUUUCAAACAAAAAUGGAAAGGCCACUCGCCCGGAUGUGAUUUUGGUAAGGAUUAUCAAACAUAACAUCCACACCACCGAAUUACGUCCGAGCCAGAAAUCACAUCCAGGAAAGUCCAAAAUCACAUCGUGAAUUCGACUUUAACAACAUACUCCAGAAUGUGAUUUCUGACUCGGAUGUGAUUUUGAUGACUACCAACAUCACAUUUAAGUUCAAUAUCACAUUCACCCAAGACACUUUUCCCUUCUCAUGGAGAAAUCACAUCCAGGCCGGUCAUAAUGAGUAACCCCUCUUCCAUCCCCAUUUUUUGGACCUCUGUAAAUAGGAAAGGAAAAAUUGGACGACCAAACAGGAGAGAGGAAAGGAUUUUGUUCAAGCAUGUUUGAUAUUUUUAGGGUGCCACCGUAUUUAGGUAAACAUGUUUGUUUUGAAGGCUCAAGUCUGAGAGGAUCAAAUAGAAAUUGAUAAAAGAUACAAAAAGAAAGAUUCUUUGUCUUCGUAGUCUACGGCUUUCCUAGUAUUUCUGUAUAUUUUCAAGGUGUGUUUUUUCAAGAUGUAUUUCUGUAUAGAAGAAAAGUUCCAGAGACUGGAAAACCUUUCAGGUUGAAAAAAGGUACACUUAAAAAUUACUGUUGUUGAUUGCAUUUAUCCUAUCCCACUAAAAAGUAGGCACGUGAAGUAUUCAGAAAAAGCUAGACUUUAUUGGAAGACUGAAGUAUAAUUGCCUACUUCAAACUACGGACAUGAUUGAUCUGCUGAUGAAUAAAACACUCGUUGGUUGUGACGAGCCCCCUUCUCCUACUUACACAAUAGCUUUGGUAUGAAGACGGAAAGAUUCAGUGCAAAUAAUCCUCUGACCUGACCCUAAGUUUGCUCCGUUGAACAUGUAAAUGUACAAUUCAACGAUCCAUUCCUGGUUGUACAACAGGAAGUAACACUAUAAGGAAGAGACAUAUUCAAAAACAGCAAAGCAUUCGUAUCUCUUAGCGCAGCUGCAGAUUCUUUAAUUUAGAAACGCUGUCUGACCGUAUGGAGGAAACAUGCGUGCAACGUUUUCCUGAAAUAGCCCUUCCUUCUCACAAACCGAAUUUUCUCCUUCCCAGACAAAAAGAAAGAGGAUACCGCUCAUGAAAGCCACAGCAGAUGAACCUAAAUGGGUGUAAAACAAAUAGGUGUAAGAACAACUUUAUUUCAUGCCGUUUGUAUAGCCUGCUGUAAUUGAAUUCAUUUUCCUCCUCGCUUUUGUACCUAUCCUUAGCUAUUCAGACACUAUGUUUGUAUUUCUUAGAACUUAAAACUCAGACUCAUCGUAAUGGAUUCUACUUGUGCUUUUGAUUUUUUUUUAUAAAUUGAUUACUAUUUUUGGGCUUUUACUUGUGACCUGUACCUCACUUGUAAUAUAUUUAUAGAGCAUAGUAUGACUGAAGCCAUUUAUUAAUCCUGGUGAUUUUUGUAUCUAGUACUUGCAUAUUUGUAAACAAUCCAACUGUAUCCAGGUUUCUUACAGUGUAAUUUCCUUGUUCUGUAGUUGCAAAUAAAUAAAUUAAUAAUUUAUUACCACUGAAAUUGGCCACCUUUUGAAUUCUCUUUCGAUUCACGAUUUGGAGAGGUCACUACGGAUUGCAUUCCAUUGUCAUUGUUUGUUUAAUAAUUGCACUGCAAACGGAUAAAAAAUACAAAGGCGGCGAGCAGUGCAUGAAGAUCUGUGUUGCUACAAACCUGAUGUAAACACACUUCUCAGAAAUAAAAUGAACUCGAGUUCAAAGUUCAUGGCGGGUUUUCGUGGAUUUACUUCCUCGUAUUUUUGACACAGCUCUUUCCCCCUUAAUUCGCUCAGUUUUUGGUUGAUUAUCGGAUACUGUGAGCAGCUGCUUCUAAUCCAAGUAUAGGAUGCAACGGUACAUUCCAGUUUAUUGUGCGGUGUGGCUUUGCAAUGGCGGUACUUUCUUGGGCUUCCUUUGCUGCUAUCAAUGACCUUGUAGACACAACGGUGGUGCGGGGCAGAGAUACAACUAUGCUUUGUAGUAACAGUCAACACACGUCAGGCUUUGCCCAGUGGAGUGACAUUACAGACCCAAGCAAUCCAGUGCCAUUUGCCUCUCGUUCAGGUGGAGUGUUGAAAGAUCCUCCUACCUAUUCAAAGUAUGUAAAUUUUGACUUAGACACAACAUUGAGUACACAAUUGGAUCUCAAGAUAAGCAGCGCUGAGCUUGAAGAUGAAGGGACGUAUUCAUGCACCUUAAAUCCAGACACAGUAUCGGCCACACUGACUGUAGAAAGAGCAGAGCCAACAAUUACAAUUGACGGUGAUUCAUCAGGAAAUCCCAUCAUCCUGAGAGCGUUGGAGCCAAGCGUGCUGAGAUGCACAGCCAGGGGCUUCAGACCUGCUGUCAAUUUGGAGUGGUACAAGAACAGUGCCCAGAUAUCAACGGGCGUCAGUCCAGAGGCACCUACUCCUAAUGGAGACGCAUUUGACACAUCGGGCACACUGACAUUUACGCCAACUAGGCAAGACAAUGAAGCCAUCCUAGAAUGCCGAACAACGGGACAGGUGGUCGCCCCAGCAAAAACAGCAUCGCUCACUCUCAAUAUGUACCAGUCGUGUCAGUUGGGUAUGCCAAUGAAGUGAUAACUUGCUCAUCGGAUGCCAACCCACUGGCAACCAAUCAUAAGAUCAUCCUGAACGGUACUAACAUUGUGAAGGAAUUCACGACCAGCCAGGGAUCUCAUCCAUUCACUCCAGUAGAUGGCUGCACGGUCAUUAGUUGCAAUGCCACGAACACAGUGGGAACGGGAACGGCAACUUUUCCUGAAGAAAUAUG